CAGGUGGUCAGGUAGAGAAUACCAAGGCGCUUGAGAGAACUCGGGUGAAGGAACUAGGCAAAAUGGUGCCGUAACUUCGGGAGAAGGCACGCUGACACGUAGGUGAAGUGAUUUACUCAUGGAGCUGAAGUCAGUCGAAGAUACCAGCUGGCUGCAACUGUUUAUUAAAAACACAGCACUGUGCAAACACGAAAGUGGACGUAUACGGUGUGACGCCUGCCCGGUGCCGGAAGGUUAAUUGAUGGGGUCAGCGUAAGCGAAGCUCCUGAUCGAAGCCCCGGUAAACGGCGGCCGUAACUAUAACGGUCCUAAGGUAGCGAAAUUCCUUGUCGGGUAAGUUCCGACCUGCACGAAUGGCGUAAUGAUGGCCAGGCUGUCUCCACCCGAGACUCAGUGAAAUUGAACUCGCUGUGAAGAUGCAGUGUACCCGCGGCAAGACGGAAAGACCCCGUGAACCUUUACUAUAGCUUGACACUGAACAUUGAGCCUUGAUGUGUAGGAUAGGUGGGAGGCUUUGAAGUGUGGACGCCAGUCUGCAUGGAGCCGACCUUGAAAUACCACCCUUUAAUGUUUGAUGUUCUAACGUGGACCCGUAAUCCGGGUUGCGGACAGUGUCUGGUGGGUAGUUUGACUGGGGCGGUCUCCUCCUAAAGAGUAACGGAGGAGCACGAAGGUUGGCUAAUCCUGGUCGGACAUCAGGAGGUUAGUGCAAUGGCAUAAGCCAGCUUGACUGCGAGCGUGACGGCGCGAGCAGGUGCGAAAGCAGGUCAUAGUGAUCCGGUGGUUCUGAAUGGAAGGGCCAUCGCUCAACGGAUAAAAGGUACUCCGGGGAUAACAGGCUGAUACCGCCCAAGAGUUCAUAUCGACGGCGGUGUUUGGCACCUCGAUGUCGGCUCAUCACAUCCUGGGGCUGAAGUAGGUCCCAAGGGUAUGGCUGUUCGCCAUUUAAAGUGGUACGCGAGCUGGGUUUAGAACGUCGUGAGACAGUUCGGUCCCUAUCUGCCGUGGGCGCUGGAGAACUGAGGGGGGCUGCUCCUAGUACGAGAGGACCGGAGUGGACGCAUCACUGGUGUUCGGGUUGUCAUGCCAAUGGCACUGCCCGGUAGCUAAAUGCGGAAGAGAUAAGUGCUGAAAGCAUCUAAGCACGAAACUUGCCCCGAGAUGAGUUCUCCCUGAGACUUAGAGUCUCCUGAAGGAACGUUGAAGACGACGACGUUGAUAGGCCGGGUGUGUAAGCGCAGCGAUGCGUUGAGCUAACCGGUACUAAUGAACCGUGAGGCUUAACCUUACAACGCCGAAG
rnacentral:rRNA from 2 species